rnacentral:tRNA from 1 species
AAGGAUGUAGUUAAUUAUAACAUUUGAUUUGCAUUCAAAAAGUAUUGAAACUUUCAAUCUUCCUUA